AGAGUUUGAUCCUGGCUCAGGACGAACGCUGGCGGCGUGCCUAACACAUGCAAGUCGAGCGAGUGAAUCUCCUUCGGGAGUGAAGCUAGCGGCGGACGGGUGAGUAACACGUGGGCAACCUGCCUCAUAGAGGGGAAUAGCCUUUCGAAAGGAAGAUUAAUACCGCAUAAGAUUGUAGCUUCGCAUGAAGUAGCAAUUAAAGGAGCAAUCCGCUAUGAGAUGGGCCCGCGGCGCAUUAGCUAGUUGGUGAGGUAACGGCUCACCAAGGCGACGAUGCGUAGCCGACCUGAGAGGGUGAUCGGCCACAUUGGGACUGAGACACGGCCCAGACUCCUACGGGAGGCAGCAGUGGGGGAAUAUUGCACAAUGGGGGAAACCCUGAUGCAGCAACGCCCCGCUGAGUGAUGACGGCCCUUCGCGGUUGUAAAGCUCUGUCUUCUCGGGACGAUAAUGACAGUACCUGCAUGAGGGAAGGACGACGGGCUAACUACGUUGCCAGCAGCCGCGGGUAAUAC
rnacentral:rRNA from 1 species